rnacentral:rRNA from 1 species
CGGGUGAGUAACGCGUGAGGAACCUGCCUCAAAGAGGGGGACAGCAGUUGGAAACGACUGCUAAUACCGCAUAAGCCCACGGCUCGGCAUCGAGCAGAGGGAAAAGGAGUGAUCCGCUUUGAGAUGGCCUCGCGUCCGAUUAGCUAGUUGGUGAGGUAACGGCCCACCAAGGCGACGAUCGGUAGCCGGACUGAGAGGUUGAACGGCCACAUUGGGACUGAGACACGGCCCAG